AAAGCUGCCCUUGAAGCCCAGAACGCACUGCAUAACAUAAAGACCUUAACAGGGAUGCACCAUCCCAUUCAGAUGAAGCCUGCAGACAGUGAGAAAUCAAACGCGGUGGAGGACAGGAAGCUGUUCAUCGGCAUGGUGUCGAAGAAGUGCAAUGAGAACGACAUCCGAGUCAUGUUCUCUGCGUUCGGACAGAUCGAGGAGUGCCGGAUCCUGCGAGGGCCCGACGGUCUCAGCAGA